UAUUCUUAAACAAAAGAGCAGCAAUGUCAUGUCCGGAAAAUGCAUUCAGAAACGAAACAACUACACGUUGUGUUUGUAAAAUUGGUUACAUCGGAUCAAACUGCGUGGAGAAAUGUGAAAAUGGUACCUUCGGUUUUGCAUGCCAUCAAAAAUGUGAAUGUCCAAUAGAAGAAUGUCAUUUUGAAAGUGGUUGUCGAAUCACAACAGAUAAAGUAUCCACGGAACCAGUGACAUCGACAUGGAAAUGGAG